rnacentral:rRNA from 1 species
CCUACGGGGGGCUGCAGUGGGGAAUAUUGGACAAUGGGCGCAAGCCUGAUCCAGCAAUGCCGCGUGUGUGAAGAAGGCCUGCGGGUUGUAAAGCACUUUUGUUCGGGAAGAAAACGCGCCGACUAAUACUUGGUGUGGAUGACGGUACCGAAAGAAUAAGCACCGGCUAACUUCGUGCCAGCAGCCGCGGUAAUACGAAGGGUGCAAGCGUUAAUCGGAAUUACUGGGCGUAAAGGGUGCGUAGGCGGCUUUUUAAGUCGGAUGUGAAAUCCCCG